rnacentral:rRNA from 1 species
UUUGAUCCUGGCUCAGAUUGAACGCUGGCGGCAGGCCUAACACAUGCAAGUCGAACGGUAGCACAGAGAGCUUGCUCUCGGGUGACGAGUGGCGGACGGGUGAGUAAUGUCUGGGAAACUGCCUGAUGGAGGGGGAUAACUACUGGAAACGGUAGCUAAUACCGCAUAACGUCGCAAGACCAAAGAGGGGGACCUUCGGGCCUCUUGCCAUCAGAUGUGCCCAGAUGGGAUUAGCUAGUAGGUGGGGUAACGGCUCACCUAGGCGACGAUCCCUAGCUGGUCUGAGAGGAUGACCAGCCACACUGGAACUGAGACACGGUCCAGACUCCUACGGGAGGCAGCAGUGGGGAAUAUUGCACAAUGGGCGCAAGCCUGAUGCAGCCAUGCCGCGUGUAUGAAGAAGGCCUUCGGGUUGUAAAGUACUUUCAGCGGGGAGGAAGGUGUUGUGGUUAAUAACCGCAGCAAUUGACGUUACCCGCAGAAGAAGCACCGGCUAACUCCGUGCCAGCAGCCGCGGUAAUACGGAGGGUGCAAGCGUUAAUCGGAAUUACUGGGCGUAAAGCGCACGCAGGCGGUCUGUCAAGUCGGAUGUGAAAUCCCCGGGCUCAACCUGGGAACUGCAUUCGAAACUGGCAGGCUAGAGUCUUGUAGAGGGGGGUAGAAUUCCAGGUGUAGCGGUGAAAUGCGUAGAGAUCUGGAGGAAUACCGGUGGCGAAGGCGGCCCCCUGGACAAAGACUGACGCUCAGGUGCGAAAGCGUGGGGAGCAAACAGGAUUAGAUACCCUGGUAGUCCACGCCGUAAACGAUGUCAACUUGGAGGUUGUGCCCUUGAGGCGUGGCUUCCGGAGCUAACGCGUUAAGUCGACCGCCUGGGGAGUACGGCCGCAAGGUUAAAACUCAAAUGAAUUGACGGGGGCCCGCACAAGCGGUGGAGCAUGUGGUUUAAUUCGAUGCAACGCGAAGAACCUUACCUACUCUUGACAUCCAGAGAACUUUCCAGAGAUGGAUUGGUGCCUUCGGGAACUCUGAGAAGGUGCUGCAUGGCUGUCGUCAGCUCGUGUUGUGAAAUGUUGGGUUAAGUCCCGCAACGAGCGCAACCCUUAUCCUUUGUUGCCAGCGGUCCGGCCGGGAACUCAAAGGAGACUGCCAGUGAUAAACUGGAGGAAGGUGGGGAUGACGUCAAGUCAUCAUGGCCCUUACGAGUAGGGCUACACACGUGCUACAAUGGCGCAUACAAAGAGAAGCGAACUCGCGAGAGCAAGCGGACCUCAUAAAGUGCGUCGUAGUCCGGAUUGGAGUCUGCAACUCGACUCCAUGAAGUCGGAAUCGCUAGUAAUCGUAGAUCAGAAUGCUACGGUGAAUACGUUCCCGGGCCUUGUACACACCGCCCGUCACACCAUGGGAGUGGGUUGCAAAAGAAGUAGGUAGCUUAACCUUCGGGAGGGCGCUUACCACUUUGUGAUUCAUGACUGGGGUGAAGUCGUAACAAGGUAACCGUAAGGGAUCC